rnacentral:rRNA from 1 species
UACGGAGGAUGCAAGCGUUAUUCGGAAUUACUGGGCGUAAAGCGCGCGUAGGCGGAUUUGCAAGUCGGGGGUGAAAGCCCGAAGCUCAACCUCGGAACUGCCUUCGAUACUGCAAAUCUCGAGUCCGGAAGAGGUGAGUGGAAUUCCUAGUGUAGAGGUGAAAUUCGUAGAUAUUAGGAAGAACACCAGUGGCGAAGGCGGCUCACUGGUCCGGUACUGACGCUGAGGCGCGAAAGCGUGGGGAGCAAACAGG